AAUGGGCGCAAGCCUGAUCCAGCCAUGCCGCGUGAGUGAAGAAGGCCUUCGGGUUGUAAAGCUCUUUUGUCAGGGACGAUAAUGACGGUACCUGAAGAAUAAGCCCCGGCAAACUUCGUGCCAGCAGCCGCGGUAAUACGAAGGGGGCUAGCGUUGUUCGGAAUUACUGGGCGUAAAGCGCACGUAGGCGGGUGAUUAAGUCAGGGGUGAAAUCCCAGAGCUCAACUCUGGAACUGCCUUUGAUACUGGUCAUCUUGAGUUCGGAAGAGGUUAGUGGAAUUCCCAGUGUAGAGGUGAAAUUCGUAGAUAUUGGGAAGAACACCAGUGGCGAAGGCGGCUAACUGGUCCGAUACUGACGCUGAGGUGCGAAAGCGUGGGGAGCAAA
rnacentral:rRNA from 1 species